rnacentral:tRNA from 2 species
GCCCGAGUGGUGGAAUGGUUUACACAGCAGACUUAAAAUCUGUCCCCCGAGAGGGGUUGCCGGUUCGAGUCCGGCCUCGGGCACCA